GAUGAACGCUAGCUACAGGCUUAACACAUGCAAGUCGAGGGGAAACGGCAUCGAAAGCUUGCUUUUGAUGGGCGUCGACCGGCGCACGGGUGAGUAACGCGUAUCCAACCUGCCCAUCACUUGGGAAUAACCUUGCGAAAGUAAGACUAAUGCCCAAUGACAUCCCACGAAGGCAUCCGAAUGGGAUUAAAGAUUUAUCGGUGAUGGAUGGGGAUGCGUCUGAUUAGCUUGUUGGCGGGGUGACGGCCCACCAAGGCAACGAUCAGUAGGGGUUCUGAGAGGAAGGUCCCCCACAUUGGAACUGAGACACGGUCCAAACUCCUACGGGAGGCAGCAGUGAGGAAGAGUGGUCAAGGGGCGAGAGCCUGAACCAGCCAAGUAGCGUGCAGGAGGACGGCCCUAUGGGUGGUAAACUGCUUUUAUAAGGGAAUAAAGUGGGUCACGUGUGACUUUUUGCAUGUACCUUAUGAAUAAGGACCGGCUAAUUCCGUG
rnacentral:rRNA from 1 species